rnacentral:lncRNA from 1 species
GCGUUCUUUCCCUUUUUUUUGCCAUUUGUAAAUAUCAGAGAGAUGGCUUCCCUUACUAGCAAUAAAGAAUUCAAACAAAAAGUCAAAAAUUCAAAGAAGAAACAACUAUGUUUGCCAAUAUCCAACAAUGAGCCCCCAUAAUUAUCACACGAAGAACAUAUUCCUGCAAUUUCUUUUUUGUCUUAAAAUCUCAGCCUGAUCAAGGGAGGAGAUUAUUAGCUUCUCAUAUUCAUUCCUAUCGUUCUUCUUCGCAACAAUUUUACAUUGAAAAUUAGAGCUCAGAGAAGUAUGAAACACAAGCAAUCAAACACUUAACAGUCAUUAAAGACCAGAAACCAAAUGAGAGUGAUAUAAAUUAUAAAGCGCCCAAUUUUUAACAUUUUUAAACAACAAAUAACUCAGAUUUAUUCCAUUCUAGACAAACCCAAACUAUAACCAAAAAAUGAAAUUUCAGAUUCCACUGGUAAUGACAAAAUUGAGUAAAAAGCUCACCUUGGACUUGUUUUUGGUCCCUUUACUUUUGCCUGCAACCUUGGUAUAGCAGAAUCUAAAGGCAAUGAAAGGAGAAAUAUGGGUCAUUGGGCAGCAAAGAGACAAUUGUCUACUCUUUUUUACAUUGUUGAAUUAGCUAAACAUAUAAGGUGAGGUGGUUGGCUGCUUUCAUUCUCCUUUGCCAUGGUUAACUCCACGACUUUUGAGCAGUCUCUCAAUUCUGUUCCUAUCUAACUUUUGGAUUUUUC